AAUCCAGGGAAACUUGGUCUAAUAUCCCAUAGAAUUUACAGAUGUCAUCAUCUAUAAAUUAAAGCUUCGGUGGUAUAGGAUUGGCUCGCGUGACAUUAGCUAGAUGGUGGGGUAACGGCCUACCAUGGCCAUGAUGUCUAGGGGUUCUGAGAGGAAGACCCCCCACACUGGGACUGAGACACGGCCCAGACUCCUACGGGAGGCAGCAGUGAGGAAUAUUGGACAAUGGAUGGAAAUCUGAUCCAGCCAUGCCGCGUGCAGGAAGACGGCCCUAUGGGUUGUAAACUGCUUUUAUAUGGGAGCAAUAAGGUCUACGCGUAGACCGAUGAGAGUACCAUAUGAAUAAGCAUCGGCUAACUCCGUGCCAGCAGCCGCGGUAAUACGGAGGAUGCGAGCGUUAUCCGGAUUUAUUGGGUUUAAAGGGUGCGUAGGCGGCCUUAUAAGUCAGCGGUGAAAUUUUGCAGCUUAACUGUAACAGUGCCGUUGAUACUGUAGGGCUAGGAUUUGGUUGCUGUGGGUGGAAUGUGUGGUGUAGCGGUGAAAUGCUUAGAUAUCACACAGAAUAUCGAUUGCGAAGGCAGCUCACAAAGCCAAGAUUGACGCUGAGGCACGAAGUGUGGGGAUCAAACAGGAUUAGAUACCCUGGUAGUCCACACUGUAAACGAUG
rnacentral:rRNA from 1 species